rnacentral:pre_miRNA from 1 species
UUGCCCAUUUUGGCACUAGCACAUUUUUGCUUCUGUAUAUAUUGGCUGAGCAAUUAUGUGUAGUGCCAAUAUAGGAAA